CCUACGGGUGGCAGCAGUCGAGAAUCAUUCACAAUGGGGGAAACCCUGAUGGUGCGACGCCGCGUGGGGGAAUGAAGGUCUUCGGAUUGUAAACCCCUUUUAUGUGGGAGCAAAUUAAAGAGAUAGUACCACAAUGGGAAGAGACGGCUAACUCUGUUCCAGAAGCUGCGGUAAUACAGAGGUCUGAAGCGUUGUUCGGAAUCACUGGGCGUGAAGCGUUCGUUGGCGGUAUGUCAAGUCAAGUGUGAAAUCUCCGCGCUCAAAGUGGGAACCGCCGUUGAAACUGGCAAACUGGAGUGUGUGAGAGGAAAGUGGAAUGCGAGGUGUAGGAGUGAAAUGCAUAGAUAUCUGGCAGAAC
rnacentral:rRNA from 1 species